rnacentral:pre_miRNA from 1 species
CCUGCUGGUUUCUCUGUGUGUGUGUGUGUGUGUGUGUGUGUGUGUGCGCGCGCGUGACCCACGCACAUCACGCUCUACCAGCACCUGCAGU